CACGUAGGAGGCGAGCGUUGUCCGGAAUCAUUGGGCGUAAAGAGCGCGCAGGCGGCCCGGCAAGUCGGGUGUGAAAUCUCGGGGCUCAACCCCGGAACUGCAUCCGAUACUGCCGGGCUAGAGGUAGGUAGGGGAGAUCGGAAUUCCUGGUGUAGCGGUGAAAUGCGCAGAUAUCAGGAGGAACACCGGUGGCGAAGGCGGAUCUCUGGGCCUUACCUGACGCUCAGGCGCGAAAGCUAGGGGAGCGAACAGG
rnacentral:rRNA from 2 species